rnacentral:rRNA from 1 species
AGCGAACGCUGGCGGCAGGCCUAACACAUGCAAGUCGAACGGUUCCUUCGGGAUUAGUGGCGUACGGGUGAGUAACACGUGGGAACGUGCCCGUUGGUUCUGAACCACUCAUUGAAACUUGAGCUAAUACCGGAUGUGCCCUUCGGGGGAAAGAUUUAUAGCCAUUGGAGCGGCCCGCGUCUGAUUAGCUAGUUGGUGAGGUAACGGCCCGCCAAGGCGACGAUGAGUAGCUGGUCUGAGCAGAUGACCAGCCACACUGGGGACGAGACACAGACCAGACUGCUACGGAAGGGAGGAGAGGGGUACAUUGCGGGAGGGGCGAAGGCCUGACGACGCCGCGCCGGGUAAAUGAUGAAGGGGUUAGGAUUGCAAUAUUAUUAGGGCGGAGACGAUAGUGACGGUACCUGCAGAAGAAGCCCCGGCUAACUACGUG